rnacentral:rRNA from 1 species
CGAGUGGCGAACGGGUGAGUAAUACAUCGGAACGUACCUUAUCGUGGGGGAUAACGCAGCGAAAGCUGUGCUAAUACCGCAUACGCCCUUAGGGGGAAAGCGGGGGAUCGCAAGACCUCGCGCGAUUAGAGCGGCCGAUGCCUGAUUAGCUUGUUGGUGGGGUAAAAGCCCACCAAGGCGACGAUCAGUAGCUGGUCUGAGAGGACGAUCAGCCACACUGGGACUGAGACACGGCCCAGACUCCUACGGGAGGCAGCAGUGGGGAAUUUUGGACAAUGGGGGAAACCCUGAUCCAGCAAUGCCGCGUGAGUGAAGAAGGCCUUCGGGUUGUAAAGCUCUUUUGUCAGGGAAGAAACACCGGCUCUAACACAGUCCGGGAAUGACGGUACCUGAAGAAUAAGCACCGGCUAACUACGUGCCAGCAGCCGCGGUAAUACGUAGGGUGCAAGCGUUAAUCGGAAUUACUGGGCGUAAAGCGUGCGCAGGCGGUUAUACAAGACAGGCGUGAAAUCCCCGGGCUCAACCUGGGAAUUGCAUCUGUGACUGUAUAGCUAGAGUACGGUAGAGGGGGAUGGAAUUCCGCGUGUAGCAGUGAAAUGCGUAGAUAUGCGGAGGAACACCGAUGGCGAAGGCAAUCCCCUGGACCUGU